GCAGCCAAUUUCGAUGUUGGGGUUCUCUCAACAUAUCAAAUAUGGAUCAAACAAUUGUUUUAUAGAAUCAAAACCGAAUAGAUCCAAAAUAAUGAAUUAAGAAUAUUUCCAUAAAACUUAUUUAAUCCACUAUAAUAUGUAUGAAAUCCUACAAUAAUUGAUAAACAUAUUAACACGGAAGCGUACCUGAUGAAUCCAUUAGAAUAUUUUAUGAAUAAAUCAGUGAUUUGGUCUUCCAAUUGCAGAGUACCUUUUGAACUUUAGAUUUCUUCUUGACGGGUGAAGAGAAACUUCAUUCGAUACUGCAAUCGGGGAUCAUAACCUUAUUUAUAGGCAUAACUGAUGAAUCUAUAAUUAUGAUUGUAUUCAUAAUUGAUGAAUCUGCAAUUAUGCCUCAAGAGUUUCAUAUUCCUAACUUAUCUCGUCAUUAAGUUAGGAACAUGAUGGUAUCCACACAAUUAAUUUUCAUAACAAUUAUGUCCCUUAGCCAAAUAACUUUACUUUAAUUGGAUCACUUUAAUUUUGGCUAAUCAAAAUAAUGGCUUAACACAUUUAAUUAUACAUGUGUGACCCUUAAAAUUCCAACAAUCUCCCACUGAGUCACAUAUGUAUCCUUAUAAAUGUGCUAUACUUUAUGAGCUCAAAACUGUUGUCAUUAUUAAACAGGACAUACAAAACAAUCUCGUCCAUUGGCCAUAUUAAUAUAGGACCAAAGCUGUCUUCGCUAUAUCAAUCAUAGCUAAACCCAUCAAUGAUCACUAAUAUUAACAUAACCAAAUGACAUAGAUCAAUUAUGAAAUGUGUAGCAUGAAAAUUACAUGAAUGUGAUAUGUACAUGUCAAUUUUCAAUUGGUCCAACUUUAUCUUUAUGAGAUCAUUAAUAACUUUAAUAGCCAUAAUGUACAAAGUAUAAUAAACUGAAGCUUUAUUUCUGAUCAGAAAAUAUAUGUAGAAAUACAGAAUCUGGCAUAGAACAUAUAACAAACAUAUGACAGGCUCCCACUAAACUGAAGUUUCCUCAAAUUCUGAUAUACCCAUAUGAGCAGUAUGCUCAUGAAAGACCUUGGGCGGUAAACCUUUUGUGAGAGGAUCUGCCAACAUAAAGUUUGUUCCCAAGUGUUCUAUAGAAAUUUGUUUACUUUGUACCCUUUCUUUCACAACUAGGAACUUGAUGUCAAUAUGCUUUGACUUAGUCGAGCUCCUAUUGUUGUUGGAGUAUAAAACAGCUGAUUUGUUAUCACAGUAUAUCUUUAGUGGUCUUUCAAUCCCUUGAACUAUUUGCAGCCCUGUGACAAAAUUCCUCAGCCAAAUUCCAUGAUUAGACGCCUCAAAACAUGCUACAAAUUCCGCUGUCAUAGUGGAAGAAGCAAUAAGAGAUUGCUUGGCACUACGCCAAGAAAUCGCCCCACCAGCCAACAUAUAAAUGUAGUCCGAAGUGGAUUUCCUACUCUGUCUUGGCAUCCAACAAAAUCGGAGUCAGAAUACCCAAUGAUCUCCAAAUGGUCUGAUCUCCUAUAUGUGAGCAUAUGAUCUUUUAUCCUCUUUAAAUAUCUCAUGACUCUUUUAGCUGCCUUCCAAUGAUCCAUUCUAGGAUUGCUUAAGUAUCUGCCUAACACUCCAACAAUGUACGCUAUAUCCGGAUGCGUACAAAUCUGUGCAUAUAUUAGACUUCCUACAGUUGAUGCAUAGGGAAUCUUAUGCAUUUCUUAAGUUUCCAAAUUUCUUUUAGGACAUUGAUUGAGAUUUUUCAUGUAUUAGAUUCAUGUAUCCAUAUCUAGAGUAAUCGUCUAUGAAUGAUAUGAAGUAUUGUUGACCAUUCCAUGAAGGUGUAGGAAAUGAUCCACAAAUAUCUAUAUGUAUCAAUUCUAAGACAUCUGUAGCUCUAUAUACACCUGAUCUCCUAGGUUUGGUUUAUUUACCUUUAAUGCAUUCAACACAAACAUCUAGACCUGAUAAGUCAAUGGGAUCAAGAAUCCCAUCUGACACAAGUCUUUCAACUCUAUUUCUAGAUAUAUGACCCAAACGUUUAUACCAUAAUAUACCAGAAUUUUCAAUUUUACAUUUAGUACCUUGCAAUUCCGCAUUCAAGGUUUCAUGAUAGGAUGCUAUAGUAUCAAGUAAAUAUAGAUUGUCAUAAGUCAUAAGUGAACCAGUUCCAAUCAUAUUUGAAUUUAAAGACAAAGUAAACUGAUUGUUUCCAAAUGAACAAGAAUAAUCAGAUUUGUCCAAAUAAGAAACAGAAAUUAAGUUCCGUCUAAAUGACGGUACAAUAAAAGUGUCUUUUAAAUCCAAAUAAUAUCCGGUACACAAUAACAAUCUAAAUAUUCCUAUAGCUUCCACAUCUACCGAUUUUCCGUCCCCCACAUAAAUGUUUUUCUCAGCAUUAUUAGGCCUUCGGUAGCUUAGGCAACCUUGCAUUGAUACACUGAUGUUAGUUGUUGCACCGGAGUCUAACCACCAAGUGUUUCUAGGUACUGAAGUUAAAUUGAUUUCUGAACAAACCAAAGUAAGGAAUGUUCCCUUUUUAGCAUGCCAAGCAUGAUAUUUAGCACAGUCCUUCUUUAAAUGCCCAGAUUUCUUGUAGAAGAAACAAGUAUCAUCCUUAUUUUGUUUCUUCUGUACUGGGUCCUUAUCAGCCUCAUUCUUUCCAUAUUUGUAUUUUCUUUUCUUGCCCUUAAAGUUGGUUUCGUUUAAAACCAGUAUUGAAUUGAGGUUAGCAGAUAUUUUUAUAAGAGAACCUAAAUAAGAGAACAACAGAUAACCAGAAAUUAUGCUCAUAUUUAUUACCAUAAACUUAAGUAAAUUCAAAUAAUGAUAUAACUCAUCUCAAGAUACCAAGUGCAACAUUAAUAUCUUGUCUUUGGACUUCAAUAUUAAUUGCUAGUGGUAGUCUUGUUGUAAUGAUCAAAUAUUGAUAAUAAGGCAUGUCAAAUGAAAAACCCAUCUUUGGAUUGAUUUAUCAUUUACAUGUAUAACUUUAUAAUUAUCACGUAUUUACCAUUACAAGUAUGUAUAAAAUCCUGCCAGUCAUUAACCUUCCUUUGGGCCGGAUAAUUACCGCAUGGAUGUAAAUACACACUACAUUUAAUAUUUUCAUGAGAAAUGUUAUAUAUGAGAGGUCACUUUGGCGACUUCAUAUAUUAAAUUACUCAAUCUAAUAUUAAACAAUCACUAAUUGAAUUUAAACCAUAUUAGUCAAAUUGAUUUGAUCUUAAUUUGUUGACUAAAAUAUUUAAAGCAUGUAAAUCAUUCAAUUUAUGUCAACAAACAACUUUAUAGAACCAAUACUAUGUUUAAUCCAACAUAAUAUUGUAACAAUAUUAUUAAAUAAACAUAAUAUUGCAACAAUAUCUAAUUAAUUAAAUUCAUAUUAAUUAGAUAAAAUCCAAAAACAAUAUUAUUAAACCAACAUAAUAUUACAAUAAUAUCUAAUUAAUUAAAUUCAUAUUAAUUAGAUAAAAUCCAAAAACAAUAUUAUUAAACCAACAUAAUAUUGCAAUAAUAUCUAAUUAAUUAAAUUCAUAUUAAUUAGAUAAAAUCCAAAAAGAAUUUGGAAAAUUUAUGCCUUGUAGUGCAAAAAUGAAUUUUGCAUAUUGAUGAAUAGGAAAAGACACUAAGUGGAAAAGAUAAUCCAAAAUUAAACUGAUAUCACAUCAGAAAAAGACACUAAAUUGAAUGUGAAGCAUGCUGUAGCAUGAUUACAUAAAUCCAUAAUCUUUUCCAACGAUAAUAGAACCAAAUCACUUCAAAAUAGCAUGAUUACAUAAAACUAUCAUCUUUCCCAACGAUGAUAGAACCAAAUUAUUUUAAAAUAUUGAUGAAAACAUCAUUAAAAUUCAUGAGAAAACAAGCUUUAAAUGUUCAUCAAUCAUUGUAGGAUGGCUCUGAUACCACUUUUGGGGUUCUCUUAACAUAUCAAAUAUGGAUCAAACAAUUGUUUUAUAGAAUCAAAACCGAAUAGAUCCAAAAUAAUGGAUUAAGAAUGUUUCCAUAAAACUUAUUUAAUCCACUAUAAUAUGUAUGAAAUCCUACAAUAAUUGAUAAACAUAUUAACACGGAAGCGUACCUGAUGAAUCCAUUAGAAUAUUUUAUGAAUAAAUCAGUGAUUUGGUCUUCCAAUUGCAGAGUACCUUUUGAACUUUAGAUUUCUUCUUGACGGGUGAAGAGAAACUUCAUUCGAUACUGCAAUCGGGGACCAUAACCUUAUUUAUAGUCAUAACUGAUGAAUCUAUAAUUAUGAUUAUAUUCAUAAUUGAUGAAUCUGCAAUUAUGCCUCAAGAGUUUCAUAUUCCUAACUUAUCUCGUCAUUAAGUUAGGAACAUGAUGGUAUCCACACAAUUAAUUUUUAUAAUAAUUAUGUCCCUUAGUCAAAUAACUUUACUUUAAUUGGAUCAUUUUAAUUUUGGCUAAUCAAAAUAAUGACUUAACACAUUUAAUUAUACAUGUGUGACCCUUAAAAUUCUAACAUUCCACUCUUCUGAACUUACUGUUUGCUGUCAGGAACAAGUGGUGGUCCACAGUUCUACAAGGAGAAGUUUGUGAAGAUUGACGACGAGAAUCGAUUGAAGGAAGCCAUCGUGGUGGAAGGAGGAUACCUGGAAAUGGGGUUUCUGUCCUUUCUAGUUCGUUUCGAGAUCAUAGACAAGGAGGAGGGAGUCUCUUCCAUCAUCAAAUCCACCAUCGAGUACGAGGUUGACGAAGAGCACGCAGGUAAUGCUUCUCUCGUCACC
rnacentral:lncRNA from 1 species